rnacentral:rRNA from 1 species
CAAAGGAAUUGACGGGACCCGCACAAGCGGUGGAGUAUGUGGCUUAAUUCGAUGCAACGCGAAGAACCUUACCAAGGCUUGACAUGGAUUUCUAAGCACGUGAAAGCGUGUGACCCUUCGGGGGACUUCCACAGGUGCUGCAUGGCCGUCGUCAGCUCGUGUCGUGAGAUGUUGGGUUAAGUCCCGCAACGAGCGCAACCCUUGUGACUAGUUGCCAGCACGUAAUGGUGGGAACUCUAGUCAGACUGCCCAGAUCAACUGGGAGGAAGGUGGGGACGACGUCAGGUCAGUAUGGCCCUUACGCCUUGGGCUGCACACGUACUACAAUGCCCAGUACAAUGAGAACCGAUACCGCGAGGUGGAGGAAAUCUGUAAAACUGGGCCCAGUUCGGAUUGGAGGCUGCAACUCGCCUCCAUGAAGUUGGAAUCGCUAGUAAUGGCGCAUCAUCUACGGCGCCGUGAAUACGUUCCCGGGUCUU